rnacentral:snoRNA from 1 species
CGUUUUUGUGUUAUUCGCUGAAUGCCCAUCUUGGCCUAGUGAUUGUCAAACAGAACGCACAUUGAAGACCAGGCAUCUGCUCUCACUCCACAAUGUUAUGUCCAUUAUAUCCAGG